rnacentral:tRNA from 1 species
AAAAAUAAAAUCAAAGUUGUCGAUAUUUCAUUUACAAUGAAACUUUGCUGUUAGCUAUUUUUA